rnacentral:rRNA from 1 species
AGUGAACGCUGGCGGUAGGCCUAACACAUGCAAGUCGAACGGCAGCACAGUAAGAGCUUGCUCUUACGGGUGGCGAGUGGCGGACGGGUGAGGAAUACAUCGGAAUCUACUUUUUCGUGGGGGAUAACGUAGGGAAACUUACGCCAAUACCGCAUACGACCUACGGGUGAAAGCAGGGGAUCUUCGGACCUUGCGCGAGUGAAUGAGCCGAUGUCGGAUUAGCUAGUUGGCGGGGUAAAGGCCCACCAAGGCGACGAUCCGUAGCUGGUCUGAGAGGAUGAUCAGCCACACUGGAACUGAGACACGGUCCAGACUCCUACGGGAGGCAGCAGUGGGGAAUAUUGGACAAUGGGCGCAAGCCUGAUCCAGCCAUACCGCGUGGGUGAAGAAGGCCUUCGGGUUGUAAAGCCCUUUUGUUGGGAAAGAAAAGCAGCAGGUUAAUACCCCGCUGUUCUGACGGUACCCAAAGAAUAAGCACCGGCUAACUUCGUG